rnacentral:rRNA from 1 species
UACGGAGGGGACUAGCGUUGUUCGGAAUUACUGGGCGUAAAGCGCACGUAGGCGGUUCGUCGCGUCGGCUGUGAAAUCCCGAGGCUCAACCUCGGGUCUGCAGUCGAUACGAGCAAACUAGAGUGUUGCAGGGGAGACUGGAAUUCCUGGUGUAGCGGUAGAAAUGCGCAGAUAUCAGGAGGAACACCGGUGGCGAAGGCGGGUCUCUGGGCAACAACUGACGCUGAGGAGCGAAAGCGUGGGGAGCGAACAGG